AGCGAACGCUGGCGGCAGGCCUAACACAUGCAAGUCGAACGAACCUUUCGGGGUUAGUGGCGGACGGGCGAGUAACACGUGGGAACGUGCCUUUAGGUUCGGAAUAACUCAGGGAAACUUGUGCUAAUACCGAAUGUGCCCUUCGGGGGCAAGAUUUAUCGCCUUUAGAGCGGCCCGCGUCUGAUUAGCUAGUUGGUUGAGGUAAUGGCCCACCAAGGCGACGAUCAGUAGCUGGUCUGAGAGGAUGAUCAGCCACAUUGGGACUGAGACACGGCCCAAACUCCUACGGGAGGCAGCAGUGGGGAAUCUUGCGCAAUGGGCGAAAGCCUGACGCAGCCAUGCCGCGUGAAUGAUGAAGGUCUUAGGAUUGUAAAAUUCUUUCACCGGGGACGAUAAUGACGGUACCCGGAGAAGAAGCCCCGGCUAACUUCGUG
rnacentral:rRNA from 1 species